rnacentral:rRNA from 1 species
UCANCCAUAGUGUGCUCUGGAAACUGUCUGACUUGAGUGCAGAAGGGGAGAGNGGAAUUCCAUGUGUAGCGGUGAAAUGCGUAGAUAUAUGGAGGAACACCAGUGGCGAAAGCGGCUCUCUGGUCUGUCACUGACGCUGAGGCUCGAAAGCGUGGGUAGCGAACAGGAUUAGAUACCCUGGUAGUCCACGCCGUAAACGAUGAGUGCUAGGUGUUAGGCCCUUUCCGGGGCUUAGUGCCGGAGCUAACGCAAUAAGCACUCCGCCUGGGGAGUACGACCGCAAGGUUGAAACUCAAAGGAAUUGACGGGGGCCCGCACAAGCGGUGGAGCAUGUGGUUUAAUUCGAAGCAACGCGAAGAACCUUACCAGGUCUUGACAUCCCGAUGCUAUUCUUAGAGAUAGGAAGUUACUUCGGUACAUCGGAGACAGGUGGUGCAUGGUUGUCGUCAGCUCGUGUCGUGAGAUGUUGGGUUAAGUCCCGCAACGAGCGCAACCCUUAUUGUUAGUUGCCAUCAUUAAGUUGGGCACUCUAGCGAGACUGCCGGUAAUAAACCGGAGGAAGGUGGGGAUGACGUCAAAUCAUCAUGCCCCUUAUGACCUGGGCUACACACGUGCUACAAUGGUCGGUACAACGAGUUGCGAGCCGGUGACGGCAAGCUAAUCUCUGAAAGCCGAUCUCAGUUCGGAUUGGAGGCUGCAACUCGCCUCCAUGAAGUCGGAAUCGCUAGUAAUCGCGGAUCAGCACGCCGCGGUGAAUACGUUCCCGGGCCUUGUACACACCGCCCGUCACACCACGAGAGUUUGUAACACCCGA